rnacentral:rRNA from 1 species
AUUGAACGCUGGCGGCAGGCCUAACACAUGCAAGUCGAGCGGGCGGCGGACGGGAGAGUAAUGUAUGUGGAUCUGCCCGAUAGAGGGGGAUAACUACUGGAAACGUUUGCUAAUAACGCAUACUAUCGGAUGAACCCAUAUGGGAUUAGCUAGUAGGUGGGGUAAAGGCUCACCUAGGCGACGAUCUCUAGCUGGUCUGAGAGGAUGAUCAGCCACACUGGAACGUAGACACGGCCCAGACGCCUACGGGAGGCAGCAGUGGGGAAUAUUGCACAAUGGGCGAAAGCCGUAUGCAGCCAUGCCGCGUGUGUGAAGAAGGUCUUAGGGUUGUAAAGUACUUUCAGCUGGGAGGCGUUACCCGCAGAAGAAGCACCGGCUAACUCUGUGCCAGCAGCCGCGGUAAUAC